AAUUGCAUCCAUGGCCCAUGGGAUGCAAAGUGAUGGGAUCCACUCUAUGGAUGCCCGCUAAAGACUUCCGCUGAAGUCUUUGGCUUAAUAGCAUGGUCCUCGAAUAGCUGUAAAGACCAAAAGAAUGGAAAGGGAGGUCUAGGUCUGUAGCUGGUUGGCCUUGACCCCUCUUAUAGCUAGUGAAAUGAGUAAUAUGACUAUUGACUAAAUUAAUUGCUCAUUUAUACUAUGCAGAUUCCCAUGCUGAUACACCAACUGGUGUGGGAAUUAGGGAAAAAAUCCUCUCCGGGCACCCUCUCACUGGAGGGUGUCCAGUGCUGACAUGGAGGCGUGACAUUGCAGUCACGAAAAUUCGGUGACUGACUAAUAUUUCGGCGGCUGAUCAACAAUCCGGCCAAAGUUGAAGCUAUUGAAAUCGUCUCUCUCCCUCUUAAAUUGAAGUCUAAAGUCUCUGGUGAAAGACGCUUCGUUUAUGCCUCUCUUCCUUUGAAAUUCAACUCGCCGUCUGAAAUUGAAGCUUGGUUCAGAAUUCGGUGAAGCUUUUGAAAUGGUCUGUCUAUCCGACGAAUGACUAAGCUUCGUUCAGGUGUUUCUCCAUCUGAAAUUGAAGUGUGAAGAAUCCGGCCAAAGACCAAGCUUCGUUGACGUCUUUCUUCCUCGGAAACUCAACUCUCCCUCUGAAAUUGAAGCUUCCAAGCUUCGUUCAGGUGUUUCUCCCUCUGAAAUUGAAGUCUGAAGAAUCUGGCCAAAGACCAAGCUUCGUUCACGUCUCCCUUCUUCUGAAAUUCAACUCAAGCUUCCUCUGAAAUUCAACUCAAGCUUCCUACACAUUAUCCAUCUUCAAAGAAGCAUAUAUAUUUGUACAAGAAGUUGGUUUGUUUGUUUUUCUGCAUUUUUUUAGAUUUCAGUGAAGCUAAAUUUUACUUUCUAUGUUGUUCUGCAUAUGUAUCUUAAAUUUGCAGAGUCUAUAGUUAUAUUUAUAUGUUAUUUAUAAGUGUAUUUUACAUGAUAU